rnacentral:misc_RNA from 1 species
UUCGGCUUUGUGUCUUAGCAGGCGAUUCUUCCACGGCGCUCGAAGCGCGUCGUGGUAUUUCGCGUAUUGUAAUUUCAACACGAGCGGGGUCAAAUCCUUUGCAGACGACUUAGCUGUGCGAAACGGUCCUGUAAGCAGUAGAGUAGCCUUGUUGUUACGAUCUGCUGAGGGUAAGCCGUCCUUCGCCUCGAUUUCCCCAAUGGGUUCUCCGGAUUUCUGGAGACUUGUAGGGGUUGUGGGCUUUGCGAUGUGUCGUCUCCGGACGGGCGGUGCAGGGUAGCCGAGUUGAACUUGGUGGAAUUCGAUUCCGUCGAGUCCGGCAUGGCUCUGUGCGGCUGUGUGUUGAACGGUGCAGGGUAGGCUGCUCGGUCUUGGUCGAUUCGUGGAUCGAUUCGAGGGCCGGCCGUCGGGUGAGUGAGGUGGGAGCGGUCUAGGGUAGGCUGGUUUGUCUUGGUCGAAUUCGAUGUCGGCUCCCGUGUAGAGCGGUGCGAGGGUGGUCCAGGGUAGGU